rnacentral:rRNA from 1 species
GACGGACCGUCCAAACGUUAUUCGGAAUCACUGGGCUUAAAGGGUGCGUAGGCGGCCCGGAAAGUUGGGUGUGAAAGCCCUCGGCUCAACCGAGGAAUUGCGCCCAAAACUACCGGGCUCGAGGGACACAGAGGUGAGCGGAACUUAGGGUGGAGCGGUGAAAUGCGUUGAUAUCCUAAGGAACACCAGGAGCGAAAGCGGCUCACUGGGUGUCUUCUGACGCUGAUGCACGAAAGCUAGGGGAGCGAACGGG